UUGGACUCGGUAUGGCAGACAUUGAUAGCAUUGUUUGUUGUGAUAGUGACUGCAAUAGUGAUCCUGAAAGUAUACUGAAAUCAUUAAAAGAAGGUGUACCAGCUCUGCUGAUCUUAGUGAGAAAGUUGCCGUAGUAACGUAGACCAACACAGGUAUUGGCUAUUUUGUUGCCAGAAGAAAGGCAAAAGUAAUUUUGGUAUGCUAUAACCGCAAGAAAGGUCAAGAAGAGGUAGACAAGUUCAAAUCAUCAACUAGAAACAGUGACGUUGUUGUCAAGAAACUCGAUGUUUGUUCAGUGGAUUAAGUGAGGGAGUUUGCCACAAUGAUAGAUGAGCUGAAACACAGACUGCAUAUACAUAUACUGAUGAACAUUGCAGGUGCUUACUUGUAUGAUUUCUGAAGAAGGGACUCAGGCCUCCAUCUAAUGUUCAGUGAGUGAGGACCUGGAAAGUAUGUGGAUUGCAGGGAAGCAGAUGAUCAGAGCUCUGAUGUUAGUAAAGAUACAGGCCUUGCCAAGAAAUUCUGGGAAAUCAAUGAAAAGUACACUAUGCUUGCAACGGAGAAGUAAGCUUAGAUAGAAAGGAAAAUAUUUCAGGGAUAUUUAACAAUAGUAGAUUCCCGUGUCAGAUCGUUAUCACUUACUCCAGAGAUUUUUUUUUUUAGCUUAAUUAGUCUCUCAAGUAUUGUCCACUUGAGGAGAACAAAAAAAGAAGAAAAAAUGUUUCAAUACUGUAAAUUCAUUUUUAUUUCAUAAAGAUUUUUGGUUUGGUGAUUUGAGUAGCUAAAGAUCAUUUGAUUUAGUCUCUGUCCUAAACUUGAGAAUAAUGCUUUGUUUAUAAUGUAGUUGGUUAUCUGUAAGAAGGGAAUACACACUUGAAUUUACGUGUCUGUAUUUACGUCUUAAAAAUUGCCUUCAUUAUGGGGGUUUCAGGGUCAUAGAAUUAAAUUUGGAGACUGGUCUCGAAGCAGGACAUCAACAUUGGUCAAUUUGAAAAUAGAGAUAUGAAUAAACCAGACAGAUGCUUGCAUUUUGAAACAGAACAUCACCAUUGGUCAAUUUGAAAAUAGAGUUAGAAAUCAGCCAAUCAGAUGCUUGCCUUGAAACAGGACAUCACCAUUGGUCAAUUUGAAAAUAGAGUUAGAAAUCAGCCAAUCAGAUGCUUGCAUUUUGAGACUGGUCACCUUUAAACUAUAUGUUGGUGUUAUUUGAUGGUGUUUUCAGAAAUGAUCACCUUUGAUAUGUACUUUUAUGUAAAGAAAGAGUAUUUAUGUAGUGAAUUCAUGAUUUAUUGAAGUAGCCAUGGACAGGAGACACAGCCAUAAUUGUAUCAAAAUAUAGUUGAUUUGUAUAUAGCAAAAGUGGUAAGUGCUUAUUGUUUACAUGUUUUCUACUGUGAAAUCAUUAGUUAGAUAAGUAUGAGCAUGUAUUACAGUUAAAAAGUAAAAUGUUGGGGCUGCCUUUUCGGCAUGAUAAGAACUUAGUGUUUUGUAUUGGGGAAAAAGGCAGAUAUGCACAACACUGAACAACACUAUAAAUAGUGAGUUUGUUUUGUAGAAUUGGUCUGUAGUAUACGAAUGUCUAGUGUCCCCAUAUUUUACAAUAACAAUGUUUCGAAGGAUCUGUUAGAAAAUUUCGACUGAAUGUUGAACAACAUCAAUGACAUAUCUAAAAUGUGUAUGAUUUUACUUCUUCUUGACCUAAAUACGAGAUUUUCUGUCUUCACUUUAUUGGGUUGAGAAUUGAGUGUGUUUUGCUCCAGUCCUCAGCUCAACCACCUAGUCUGGAUUUAAGAUGUUAAGUUCUGGAUCACCCUCCUGGUUCCUAGCAGUUUUAAUCAAGGUCUUCUUGACACCUUCGUUGUUCAAGUCUCAUUUCAUUAUUUAACAUAGUGUUCAAAUUGCACAGUUCCUCUGCUCCGAAGUAGCAUAGUAAACCUUUCUACGCAAAACUGUUAUUCAGAGCAUAGUGACGACGUGCAAAGCACAUGUUCUGGAUAACUCACUUCAAAGUCAAGGUCACACUUGGGGGUCAAAGGUCAUACCUUCGGGUGUAUAUUGCUCCGCUUGACUGAUUUACAGGGAGACUAGAGCUAAAAAAAGAGAGAAAAAUACGUUUGACAACUUUUCAUCAACUGCUUGAUUGAAUUUUACUUAACUUAGAAAAUACUUAGGAUGAAAUAGGACAGUGUAACAAACAAACAACACAGAAUGAAAUUAAUUCAUUAGGCCAUACCAAAUUGAUAUGUCGUUCGUCGGAACUACCGCAUCAAUAAUUUCAUUCCCGAGAAAAAAAAAAUAAAAAUCACCCGCCCGCACGUACAUAAAAAUCUCCGAAAAAAAAUUUUUUUUUUCCGAUUACGCGGUCCGGAAUAAUAACGGCAAAACAGGUUUUAUCGCUGUUUUAAUGCGUCAAAGUGAUAUUGAUCGGAUUUCAUACGUCCGUAAUACAUGUAGCUGAUGUCCCAAACUCAAAAAGUCAGGAAUUAUGAUGUUGUUCAUCAUUUGUUUUAAAUCUGGAGUGUCUGUGCUAGUGCCACACAUGGCUUUCGAUGUGCCGGUAGGUAAUGAAGUAGGCACAUUCUACUUUUGUUCAAUACAGUGAAAAGAACGAAGCCCGACUUGUAAGACGUGCACGGGGAUGCAGUUAGAAGUAUUUGGAAAUAUUGUUCAGAUAUAAAGUUUUCAAACCAUUUGUUAUCAGUUGUUUAGUUCAGCAUGUUAUAUCUAGAGCCCAAAGCUGAGGCCAACUACUAUCUUAAAAAAAUAUUUGUUCACAGAUCCUGACCGACCUAUCACAUUGUCUGGGCCCAAAUCUUUUUGAACGUAACUUUUUUAGUACAGCAGUCAGAUAUUCUAUCAAAACGCAUUUUGUCAAUUCAAAAAUUGUUUAGCUUUUCAGAUAAGUAGUGUUGAUAUGAAAAUAGUUUCUAACAAAAUCUGUCCUUUUGUAACCCCAAUUUUGCCUGUUUGUACACAUGACGCCAGGAUAUAUUAAUUGGCUGUAAAUUGAUUGAACAAAAGAAACUGAAAAAAACCAGACCUCCCCAACUCUAAAUUUCUAGUUCAGUCAAAGCACAACAAACCACUUUUAAGGGUGGCCAUAUUGGGAUCAUUCUUUGACCGUCUGUUAUCAUUUUUGCCUGAAAUGAAUCUCUACCACAAAAACUUAAGCUAGCCUGAUCUGUUAAGAAAUUAUUCCAAAGGGAUUUGAGCAAUAUCAAAGCAUCUGUCUGCCCAACUCCCUUUCGUCUCACUGGUCAAGUGGUUUAUUACUUCCCCUCACCUCUAUGGGUUGGAGUUCCACUAGGGGCACAAAUCUGUUCAUAUGUCAAAGCCAUCUAACUGUGUUUCAGAAGAAAUGUUAUUCCACACAUGUGCCUGUUUUGUCUUAAAUAUUCCUCAUCAUGUGCCGUUAAAUAGGCACGCCUUCAGAUUAAUGUAGAAAAAUCAAAAUUAAAAAUAAGACACUCAUCCCUUAGUAAUUAUAAUUACAAAAUAAAAAAAAAGUGAUUCAGUGAGUUUUGGCAAGAAUUUAUUUGCAAAAUCAUUCAUGUAGUCUUUAAAACAUAUAGAAAAGCUAUAUACUGUGAUACCCACACUGUAAAUGUUUGAUUUCUGUGUUAUUUCUAAAGAAAUGUUAACUUUAUGUAUAAUCAUAACCGCCUCCUCAAAGGUCCAAGCUUGGGAAAAAAAAUAAAAAAAGCCCGCUCGCUCCAUGUAAAAUCUACCCGCCUCUGAAAAAAUCAAAAUUGAGAAAAAAAAAUAAAAUAAAAAUUUCGCUCGCCCGCUCCUAUUUUUUUUGAAAAUUUUCCGAAGAACUAUUAAUCAAUUUGGUAUGGCCUUAAGUGUAUUAGACAAACAUUUCAAAUCUAAGUAGUCUUCUUCAGGGUGAAGAAUAUACCGGUAAAAAGAUAUAUCUACUAACAUAUCACCCCAUGUGUAUUUGUGUUUACCGUCUCUAGACCUUUGUGGUGGAUGGUUGGGUCAUGGCUAGAUUUACCUCUAAGGUGGAGAAUCAGCACUCUACCAACACAAGCAUGCUUGUUAAUUCCAGGUAUGAGCCCAAAUCAAUCGCACCCAGACCCACUUACCCAAAUCCACUGUCAUUAGCAAACUGAGCAAUCUCUGAAGAUCAUUGAAGUAACUCUGCAUGCCUCGGGUGGUAUACCACUGCAACUCUAUCCCUAUUGUCAGUGGUGAAAUGUCUAAGAGAUUCACAAUACACAGCCACCAUACUAACUAGAUGAGCCUGGUUAUUGGGAGCCACAGACUGGUUGUAAUUUAGUACUAUCAGUAGUAAAUCCAGGCCCACAACUCUUUAAGAUUUUCAUCAGAUUUUUUUCUGAUCUUUCUGCCGGUAUCAUCUAAACGGAAGUGACUGUCAAAGGCUUCCAUCAAAACAUUUAUAUUUUCUUCAUUCUCUGCUGAGGUUUCAGCAACUUGAGCUAUAACUACCUUGGUGGUGCUUAUGGUGACCUCCAAUUUAGUCCCGGCUUUGUUGGUCACAACCUCAAGCUUAGAACCAGAAACAGACUAAAAAGUCUUCCUCCAGGAACCUCAAUUAUGGAACGCCAGCAGAUCAGAUUCCGAAAGCAUACAUGACAGGCGGCAACCGAUAUCCGAUGAUCUGGAGACACCCAGGUAUUUAAUGGGUUUAAGUUAAACUCCUUGGGGCUAGGCCAACUCUGGUGCUGGCACAAAGCAAAAAAGUCUUCAUUGCUACCUGACUCUCACUGGAGAUGUGAGACUGCUGGGAAAGAAUAUUACUCUGAUCAAAGUAUUUAUAGAGUUCCCAAAUACUGCUAUCUUGACCUAGACACAGAGAUGCCAAUUUUUUAAGGCUUUCCAUUCUUUCUUGGUGGAAAUUGGGGGUUCAUUAGCUGUUCGUUUUUUUGUCAUUUAUUAUCCAUUGUAAAUUGUAACUGUACAAACAAAUUCAGUUCACAUAAAAUUUUACAUUUUAGCUAAUACAAAUAGAUGAAA